UACGUAGGGAGCAAGCGUUGUCCGGAAUCAUUGGGCGUAAAGGGUGCGUAGGCGGCGCGGUAAGUCGGGUGUGAAAUCUCGGGGCUUAACUCCGAAACUGCAUUCGAUACUGCCGUGCUUGAGGACUGGAGAGGAGACUGGAAUUUACGGUGUAGCGGUGAAAUGCGUAGAUAUCAGGAGGAACACCCGUGGCGAAAGCGGCUCUCUGGGACGGUACUGACGCUGAGACGCGAAAGCGUGGGGAGCAAACAGG
rnacentral:rRNA from 1 species